rnacentral:rRNA from 1 species
UUGUGGCUCAACCAUAAAAUUGCCAUUGAUACUGUUGUUCUUGAGUUGUUGUGAAGUGGUUAGAAUGUGUAGUGUAGCGGUGAAAUGCAUAGAUAUUACACAGAACACCAAUUGCGAAGGCAUAUCACUAACAAUAUACUGACGCUGAUGAACGAAAGCGUAGGUAGCCAACAGGAUUAGAUACCCUGGUAGUCUACGCUGUAAACGAUGGUUACUAGCUGUUCGUCCGCCUUUGGUGGAUGAGAGGUUAAGCGAAAGUGAUAAGUAACCCACCUGGGGAGUACGUUUGCAAGAAUGAAACUCAAAGGAAUUGACGGGGGCCCACACAAGCGGUGGAGCAUGUGGUUUAAUUCGAUGAUACGCGAGGAACCUUACCAAGGCUUAAAUGCAUAUUGACGAUCUACGAAAGUGGGUUUUCUUCGGACAAUUUGCAAGGUGCUGCAUGGUUGUCGUCAGCUCGUGCCGUGAGGUGUCAGGUUAAGUCCUAUAACGAGCGCAACCCCUGUGGUUAGUUACCAGCAUGUAAUGAUGGGGACUCUAGCCAGACUGCCGGUGCAAACCGUGAGGAAGGUGGGGAUGACGUCAAAUCAUCACGGCCCUUACGCCUUGGGCUACACACGUGCUACAAUGGUAUAUACAAUGAGCAGCCAUCUGGUGACAGAGCGCUAAUCUAAAAAGUAUAUCACAGUUCGAAUCGGAGUCUGCAACUCGACUCUGUGAAGCUGGAAUC